GACGAACGCUGGCGGCGUGCCUAAUACAUGCAAGUUGAGCGAUGAAGAUUGGUGCUUGCACCAAUUUGAAGAGCAGCGAACGGGUGAGUAACGCGUGGGGAAUCUGCCUUUGAGCGGGGGACAACAUUUGGAAACGAAUGCUAAUACCGCAUAACAACUUUAAACAUAAGUUUUAAGUUUGAAAGAUGCAAUUGCAUCACUCAAAGAUGAUCCCGCGUUGUAUUAGCUAGUUGGUGAGGUAAAGGCUCACCAAGGCGAUGAUACAUAGCCGACCUGAGAGGGUGAUCGGCCACAUUGGGACUGAGACACGGCCCAAACUCCUACGGGAGGCAGCAGUAGGGAAUCUUCGGCAAUGGACGAAAGUCUGACCGAGCAACGCCGCGUGAGUGAAGAAGGUUUUCGGAUCGUAAAACUCUGUUGGUAGAGAAGAACGUUGGUGAGAGUGGAAAGCUCAUCAAGUGACGGUAACUACCCAGAAAGGGACGGCUAACUACGCG
rnacentral:rRNA from 1 species